rnacentral:rRNA from 1 species
CCUACGGGGGGCUGCAGUGGGGAAUAUUGGACAAUGGGGGGCACCCUGAUCCAGCCAUGCCGCGUGUGUGAAGAAGGCCCUCGGGUUGUAAAGCACUUUCAGUGAGGAAGAACGCCUGGUGGUUAAUACCCAUCAGGAAAGACAUCACUCACAGAAGAAGCACCGGCUAACUCCGUGCCAGCAGCCGCGGUAAUACGGAGGGUGCGAGCGUUAAUCGGAAUUACUGGGCGUAAAGCGCGCGUAGGUGGCUUGAUAAGCCGGUUGUGAAAGCCCCGGGCUCAACCUGGGAACGGCAUCCGGAACUGUCAAGCUAGAGUGCAGGAGAGGAAGGUAGAAUUCCCGGUGUAGCGGUGAAAUGCGUAGAGAUCGGGAGGAAUACCAGUGGCGAAGGCGGCCUUCUGGACUGACACUGACACUGAGGUGCGAAAGCGUGGGUAGCAAACAGGAUUAGAUACCCUUGUAGUC